AUUUUCUUAGUAUAACUAAUACAAAUGGCUUCCAACCAUUUACUCUUGGUUUAACCCCAGGAGAAAAUA
rnacentral:tRNA from 1 species